rnacentral:lncRNA from 1 species
CCCCUUUUCGCGAUUGGGAACGUGGACACGCCGGAGCCUGGAUGCAGAAGGGCGCGCGGGAACAGGGAGCUGGUGCGCGAGCCGCAGCCCAGCGUCCAGGCCGCCCCACUCUCUGCUGAUCCAAAGGACUAGGGAAACCCUGCGCGCCGACGGUGGCCUGGACGUUGGCGCGGGCCCUGGCGCUAAAAAACGGAUCCCAUUUCCAGAAAGGCGGGCCGGGUAUCCCGCUCCUGCCUCCUGGAGAAUUAGCUCGGCGGAGGUCGACCAGCCGGGUAGGGAGGGAGGGAUGGAGGGACAGGCCUAGGGUCGACCAGCCGGAUAGGGAGUAGCUUCUGGGAGCUCCCUUGCCUACGGAGGGCCGGUGAGGCUGCCCUCAGAGCGCCGCCAGGUACGUGCUUUUUCCUUGUUUCCCGCGCGCCCAGAGCACACUCUGGGGAGGGAAGGAAUAAAAACCCAGCUGGUGUGUAGGAGAUUUUCGCACCAAACGUGUCUUUCUGAGGGGUCCUGGGACGGUAGCCGAACUCGGGGUAGCCUCCUGAGCUGUAUUCUGGAAUCCCUACUGGGCUCUCCACCACCCGUAAGACGGGCUUGGAGCCAGUUCCUGUGGAAAUGCGCGUCACUUUCUUCAGAGGCCCACGAAAUUCAUCCAGGACUCCAUGGGUACUACAGCAAGAUGGCUCUGUUUCGAAGUGGUUCAUACAGUUAUCCCCCAACCCGGAAACCUAGAAUUCUCGUUUUCUGAACCGGGAUGUUUACUUUAGGGAAACCUGGUCUUGGCUUCUGCUGCGCGCCGGGUGUCUAGGAACGAAUCCCUCCUGGAUCCGGGAACCCCAGAUUUGCGGGGUUAGGAGAUACCCUCAGAGUUGUGGUUUUUUGUUGGUGGUGGUUUGUUAAGAGCCUGGUAGCUGAACUGGAGCGGGCCCCGUCCCCUCCCCCAUACCCACUUCAAACAAAAGAGCUCCUCCGAGAAUAUUUUUUAAGGGGAAAGCGCUUCUGAAUGUGGACCCUCAGUUCUCCCCGCCCCCCGUUCCGAGGAAGGACAAGGGUUUUAUAUGUGUGUUUAAAACAAAGGCGAAGCUAGACGCGAGUUGCCGGGAAAGGGCCGCUUUUAUUUUAAAGUUCUUGAAGAAUUCACUUUCUUUUCUCCCAAGUUAGCUGCAGCUGAGCCAGAAGCGUCCCCACUGGCUUACCCGAUAGUGGGAUUUUACACGGUGUCGGCUAAGGGUGGCUUUGUGAGAAGACCAUUUCAGAAGAAGAAACGGGGCUCUGGCUGGUGGGGUAGAAACCCCUAUGGAAUGAAAAGUACUCCCAGUCUCUUUGAGGAAGAUUGCAAAGUAAGGGCCUUUCUGCGGAUCUUUCCCUAGAAACCCCGCUGGGCUCCGGCUCUGAACAGCACCGGAGGACUGCAACGCCCACCCAGGCCCUGCUGCGGGUCUCCGGUGGCCUCAGCUCCUGUCGGGUAACCUCCCUAGGCCUCCCGGAACGCUCACCGGAGCUCGAGCCUUUGGACGUUCAGGGGGCUCCAACUUUAUGUGGGGAUCCCCGGACCGCCAGUGCCUGCCUCCCCACCCCCCACCCUCAUCCCUUUGUUCGCCUCUCCGGACACCGAGUUGAAGGCAGGAAAAAAAAAUAAUUAGAUGGAAAUCAAAGAUUAGACGGGGUGCGCUGGCCGCCAGGGCGAAGCCAGCCCAACACUCCGCCGGCGCCUCAUAAAUCUUUUUCGCAGGCCUGACAAAAGCCACGUCCUCCAGUUCCCUGGGAAUCUAGAAACUUAUCGAUCUCCUCGACGUCCCCCAGACACCCCUCUUUGGGAUCGAGGACGGAGAGUCCUUGGUGACCCCCCCCCCCACUUAUGUCCAGCCCAGGACGUCCCAGCCCAAUCCCGGAGUUAAUUAAUUUUCAGAAGUGGAAGAAGGUGUCAGAGGGAGAGAUACCGACCUGGGCCCAACCCCCUCCCAGGAAGGGCAGCAAAUAUCCAAAACCCGUUUGUAAAACCAAAGAAAUGUUAGGGUGCCACGUUUCCCUUGCUCCAGCUGCCUGGAAGGAUGUAUUCUGAGAAGGGUGAGGGGCAGCUUAACCCCUCCUUGGCGACUCCUUUGUCUGGUCCAGCCAUUUCUGGAACCAGCGGGGCGCCUGGGACUGGGGUGUAGAAGCCAGGCUCCCAGGCGCUGGUCCCGCAGGUGUGACGCACGCUGCUGUUGUGGGUCCGAGCCACGGGUGUGUGCGGUCCACGUGCGAUCCACCCGGGAUUGCACCCGAGAGCCCUCCGCCGGAACAGUUGAGCACUUGCGGAGUCGUGGUGCUUUUAGAGUUUUUAAAAACUUGAAUUAAUUGGGGGAGUAGAGUGCUUUCCGACGCGAAUGGAGGUGUCUUAAAAAUUAUAUCCCAUUGUUGAACCAGUUGUUUCCGAUCUUAGGUAUUAAAGAAAUGUUGCCACAUUUAAUUUUGGUUGCCGUGAGAUAGAGAGGGGAGCCCAACAUUUUGCAGUAAUUUGAUAAGCCUUCAAGUAGCAGAUCCGAAAGGGAGGCUGGCGGCCCAGGUAUAGUUUCUUUAUAACCUGAAUUUACAAUGAAAGCAUUCUCCUUUAUGGAUAUAAUAGAUUAGAUUUCACAACUUAAUUCUCUGCAAUGGCUCCGUUUAAGGGAGCUCCGGCUGAUUUUAUUACGCCAAGCCAAAUUGGAUGCUUGUGGUCUUAACGAAAAGUGAUUGUGACAUAAAAUAUAUAAUUUUAAAGUAAAAAACCAACGGGUUCGACCCUGCCCCCUCCCCCCUCCCCCUUUCUCCUAACCCCUGCUCCUUAUUCCCCAGUUUGGGAAAUAGGGGAAUCAUGGGUGUUGGUUGGUUUCUGCCUGGAAGUUUAGGCGACCCGGGCCCGGGCGGUGGAUUGGCGGCCUGGAGGGCCAGGCCAGACCCUCCCAUCUGGUAGUCAAGAAUAUGAACACUCCCAACACAGUCCAGGGAAUCUCCGGGUACUCUUCUGCCCAUGCUGGUGACUUCAAAGCCUCCCCAGGCUGGCGUGGAGCGCCAAGGAAGCAUGCUUUGAGCCGCAGCGCGCGCGCUGUCUCUCUCCAGUCUGCGUGGAGUGAAGCGUCUGUCCUCUCCUCCCAAGGCCACCACCAAGGCUCUGUAGGCGGCGGUGCCCAGGGCUGGCCCCGGACGGCUCCAAGUGCCGCACCCGAGCUGUAUUCAGCAAGUGUGGUCGGUGGGGACUGGGCGGCGGACGGCGCGAGCAGCUCUCCAAGCCCAGCCAUCCCGCCCCUGAGCGCCGGGAGCCCAGCCCUACAAGCCGCAGCCGACAAGGACAAGGGUCUUUGGGCUCCAGCCGACCUGGCCUGCCAGCGCCUGCGGCCCACUCUGCCGUCACUUCUCAUUAAGGUCGGGCUAUGUUCUCCUGACAGCGCCCCUCAUUUCAGAGUGCUUUGUUGGAGACUGAUUUAGCCCCCCAGAAGCUCGGGGCAGCCAGCAGCCCGAGUGAGGUCCGCUGAUGGCCCCAGGCGACUGCGGGCCGCCCCAGACUCCCCGCUGAGACCUCUAGAGCUAGGUCUGGUUUGCUGGACUCUCUGGAUGCAGAGGCAGCCUGGGUGCCUCCGGGUUCCCACAGGCCUCGACCCCCGCGCUCCAAGGACGCGUGCGUGCUGGUGCGUGGCCCACAGGCGGCGGGGGCACACCUUAAAUUAAAUCUUUGCAGCGC